AUUGAACGCUGGCGGCAGGCCUAACACAUGCAAGUCGAACGAGUGGCGGACGGGUGAGUAAUGUCUGGGAAACUGCCCGAUGGAGGGGGAUAACUACUGGAAAAGGUAGCUAAUACCGCAUAUCACCGCAUGUGCCCAGAUGGGAUUAGCUAGUAGGUGGGGUAACGGCUCACCUAGGCGCCGCUCCCUAGCUGGUCUGAGAGGAGGACCAGCCACACUGGAACUGAGACACGGUCCAGACUCCUACGGGAGGCAGCAGUGGGGAAUAUUGCACAAUGGGCGCAAGCCUGAUGCAGCCAUGCCGCGUGUGUGAAGAAGGCCUUCGGGUUGUAAAGUACUUUCAGCGAGGAGGCGUUACUCGCAGAAGAAGCACCGGCUAACUCCGUGCCAGCCGCCGCGGUAAUAC
rnacentral:rRNA from 1 species